rnacentral:rRNA from 1 species
CCUACGGGGGGCAGCAGUGGGGAAUAUUGGACAAUGGGGGAAACCCUGAUCCAGCGACGCCGCGUGAGUGAAGAAGUAUUUCGGUACGUAAAGCUCUAUCAGCAGGGAAGAAAUACUGACCUUACGGUCAGCAGACGGUACCUGACUAAGAAGCCCCGGCUAAAUACGUGCCAGCAGCCGCGGUAAUACGUAUGGGGCAAGCGUUAUCCGGAUUUACUGGGUGUAAAGGGAGCGUAGGCGGCCUGGCAAGCCUGAUGUGAAAUACCGGGGCCCAACCCCGGGGCUGCAUUGGGAACUGCCAGGCU